CAGUGCCGCCGGUAGGGGUGGGGCUAGCGGCUCGCUCAGGCCUGGCGGUUGGGGAGGCGGUUUAGAACACAUGCGGAAGCUCCUAAGCCGGUAUUUGAAACGGAAACUCAUCGGUUAAAAUAGAAAUACCGGUACCUGGAAACCUGGAACUUGUCUUUUCGAAGCCACCUUUCCCGUCAUCACCUCUGCCUCUCCGGGUUCCCAUAAUCGUCCUUAUGGACCGCUGGUCGUGUGGUUGCCUGCAGAACGCCUCCUGGACCCCCGGCUGGUUGAACUCCCAAUACCUUGUCAGGCCUCUUAGAGGGACUGUCCAGUGCAGUCCCUUGCUGCACAAACAUAGGCACCUCCGGCGCGCAGUUUUUCUGGUUAACUCCAAUUACAAGGUCACGACACACAUCUCCAGCUAAUUUAUGCACAGCUCCAAUUCUGUGCAGGGAGGAUGCAAAACGGCAAACUAUCCAUGGUAGGACUUUCUGGAGCAUCAAUUCUACAAGAUUUGGAAGAGAUGAAGUCAUUUCCAAGGCAAAAGAGGAGAAACACUACUUGGGGAGCUCUGUUAUGUGCCAGGACUAUGAUCAUCAAGAAGGCGGAGGCCACAGGAUUGCACCCCAACCCCGGGGACCUGCCAAAGAAGAACUGCCACCAAAGUUUCCAUCGAGGACCCUCCCAGAACUCUUCAGUGACCUCACCGAGCGGUGUGCCUCUGGAAAAAGCUCAACACUCACCCUAAAUGAGAUGUCUCUUCCCCAUGCCUGGGAGGAUAGGGGAUAGAUCCUCUAGGGGCGGAUGCCUGGGUACAGAUGUGACCCAGCAGCUCUGGAGCGAGUGGGUGUACUCAGGCGAGUUCUAGUUAAUUUGUACAUGAAUAAAAAGCACUGGGAUAGGGAAAAGGGCUCUUGA